rnacentral:rRNA from 1 species
CCUACGGGAGGCAGCAGUGGGGAAUAUUGGACAAUGGGCGCAAGCCUGAUCCAGCCAUACCGCGUGGGUGAAGAAGGCCUUCGGGUUGUAAAGCCCUUUUGUUGGGAAAGAAAUCCAGCCGGCUAAUACCUGGUUGGGAUGACGGUACCCAAGAAUAAGCACCGGCUAACUUCGUGCCAGCAGCCGCGGUAAUACGAAGGGUGCAAGCGUUACUCGGAAUUACUGGGCGUAAAGCGUGCGUAGGUGGUUAUUAAAGUCCGUUGUAAAAGCCCUGGGCUCAACCUGGAAACUGCAGUGGAUACUGGAGGACUAGAAUGUGGUAGAGGGUAGCGAAAUUCCUGGUGUAGCAGUAAAAUGCGUAGAGAUCAGGAGGAACAUCCAUGGCGAAGGCAGCUACCUGGACCAACAUUGACACUGAGGCACGAAAGCGUGGGGAGCAAACAGGAUUAGAUCCCCCGGUAGU